rnacentral:rRNA from 1 species
CUUAUACAUGCAGUCGUACGAGAGCUUCUAGCUUAAGUGGCGGACGGGUGAGUAACACGUAAGAAUUUACCUUUAGGAGGGGGACAACAGUUGGAAACGACUGCUAAUACCCCAUAUGCUUUAUAGUGAAACGGUUUUUCCGCCUAAAGAGAAGCUUGCGGCUGAUUAGCUUGUUGGUAGGGUAAUAGCCUACCAAGGCGACGAUCAGUAUCUGGUUUGAGAGGAUGAUCAGACACACUGGAACUGAGACACGGUCCAGACUCCUACGGGAGGCAGCAGUAGGGAAUUUUCCGCAAUGGGCGAAAGCCUGACGGAGCAAUACCGCGUGAGGGAUGACUGCCUAUGGGUUGUAAACCUCUUUUUUCAGGGAGGAAUCAAUGACGUGUACCUGAAGAAUAAGCAUCGGCUAACUCCGUGCCAGCAGCCGCGGUAAGACGGAGGAUGCAAGUGUUAUCCGGAAUCACUGGGCGUAAAGCGUCUGUAGGUGGUUAAAUAAGUCAACUGUUAAAUCUUGGAGCUCAACUUCAAAAUCGCAGUCGAAACUAUUAGACUAGAGUAUAGUAGAGGUAAAGGGAAUUUCCAGUGGAGCGGUGAAAUGCGUAGAGAUUGGAAAGAACACCGAUGGCGAAGGCACUUUACUGGGCUAUUACUGACACUCAGAGACGAAAGCUAGGGUAGCAAAUGGGAUUAGAUACCCCAGUAGUCCUAGCCGUAAACAAUGGAUACUAGGUGUUGAACAGAUCGAACUGUGCAG